rnacentral:lncRNA from 1 species
GGUCUAUCAAGGAUGGUGGAAGAUAUCAUUGCCUCCAACAUCACGUCCAUCUACAUUUAUAGAAUUUAAUCAAGAAUCCUUCAACAUUGUGAUUUUUUGUAAGCAUAUUUCCAUCAUUCCAAAAACCAUAGAUGUGGCGUCUGGUGUCUUUGCUUGGAUGAAAAUAGGAAUUGUGAACCAUAGACGUGGCAUGUGGUGUCUUUGUUGACUUG